AGUGAACGCUGGCGGUAGGCCUAACACAUGCAAGUCGAACGGCAGCACAGUAAGAGCUUGCUCUUACGGGUGGCGAGUGGCGGACGGGUGAGGAAUACAUCGGAAUCUACUUUUUCGUGGGGGAUAACGUAGGGAAACUUACGCUAAUACCGCAUACGACCUACGGGUGAAAGCAGGGGAUCUUCGGGCCUUGCGCGAAUGAAUGAGCCGAUGUGGGAUUAGCUAGUUGGCGGGGUAAGGGCCCACCAAGGCGACGAUCCGUAGCUGGUCUGAGAGGAUGAUCGGCCACACUGGAACUGGGACGCGGUCCAGAGUCCUAAGGGAGGCAGCAGUGGGGAAUGUUGGGCAAUGGGCGCAAGCCUGAUCCAGCCAUCCCGCGUGGGUGAAGGAGGCCUUCGGGUUGGAAAGCCCUUUUGUUGGGAAAGAAAAGCAGCAGGUUAAUACGCCGCUGUUGUGACGGUAACCAAAGAAUAAGCACCGGCUAACUUCGUG
rnacentral:rRNA from 1 species